rnacentral:rRNA from 1 species
AUUGAACGCUGGCGGAAUGCUUUACACAUGCAAGUCGAACGGCAGCACGGACUUCGGUCUGGUGGCGAGUGGCGAACGGGUGAGUAAUGUAUCGGAACGUGCCCAGUCGUGGGGGAUAACGUAGUGAAAACUACGCUAAUACCGCCUACGAUCUAUGGAUGAACGCGGGGGAUCGCAAGACCUCGCGCGAUUGGCGCCGCCGAUAUCAGAUUAGGUAGUUGGUGGGGUAAAGGCCCACCAAGCCAACGACCUGUAGCUGGUCUGAGAGGACGACCAGCCACACUGGAACUGAGACACGGUACAGACUCCUACGGGAGGCAGCAGUGGGGAAUUUUGGACAAUGGGCGAAAGCCUGAUCCAGCCAUUCCGCGUGCAGGAUGAAGGCCCUCGGGUUGUAAACUGCUUUUGUACAGAACGAAAAGGUUUCUACUAAUACUAGGAGCUCAUGACGGUACUGUAAGAAUAAGCACCGGCUAACUACGUGCCAGCCGCCGCAGUAA